AGCGAACGCUGGCGGCAGGCCUAACACAUGCAAGUCGAACGAUCCUUCGGGAUAGUGGCGGACGGGUGAGUAACACGUGGGAACGUACCUUUAGGUUCGGAAUAACUCAGGGAAACUUGAGCUAAUACCGGAUGUGCCCUUCGGGGGAAAGAUUUAUCGCCUUUAGAGCGGCCCGCGUUAGAUUAGCUAGUUGGUGGGGUAAUGGCCCACCAAGGCUACGAUCUAUAGCUGGUCUGAGAGGAUGAUCAGCCACACUGGGACUGAGACACGGCCCAGACUCCUACGGGAGGCAGCAGUGAGGAAUCUUGCGCAAUGGGCGAAAGCCUGACGCAGCCAUGCCGCGUGAAUGAUGAAGGUCUUAGGAUUGUAAAAUUCUUUUACCAGGGACGAUAAUGACGGUACCUGGAGAAAAAGCCCCGGCUAACUUCGUGCCAGCCGCCGCAGUAACAC
rnacentral:rRNA from 1 species